CCUAAAUGAUAUGGAUCCAAAAUCCAACCCAAUCAACUCUCACCACAUAUGUACUUAUUUACAUUUACAUAUAUUGCAUACCUGCUUUGUGUUUUGUACUUAAUGUCCCCCUGCUGUCCCCCUGCUAGAUAACUUGAAACCUGCAAUGUAAGAACAGAAAAAAUAAAAAAAAGAGAUUAGAGAAGAAUGAUAUAAAAAUUGUCUAAUGAUUUGCAUUAUUUUGUCUUGAUCUUACCACAAUAUUGCCUUGUCACAGUACAUUUAGUUGCCUAUUUCUAAUGAAGUUUAGUAACUAACCAAUGCAUAUGUGACAUGUAGUCAUGUCAAUUAGUAGUAUCUUAACUACAAUCCAUGAUACCCCCAACCGAUCCAACUAUCAUUUGUCAUACUCCUACAUCGCAAAACAUAAAAGAACCUAGCCAAAAGACCAAAAAGCAUGAUAGGCCCAUUGCUUGUCAUUAGAUAUGGAAAAAUGCUUGUACUGUUGGUUGGAGAACUUGUAGUAAACUUUCCCCAUGUAGAAAUUACAGCCUGUGAGCAUUUCAAUUAUAUAAUUUCAGCCUAUGUAGAAAUUACAUGCAUAUGGGCUAAUCUAUUGGUUUGAACUGAGCAAUUACACUAAUUAUGAGUAUAAAGCUGUGGUGUCAAAAAAAGUAUAGUAAUCUUAAUGGAUAAUAGCGAGAAACUCACUUUCUUAAAAUGCCUUGUAGCUGGCAACAAAUCAACUCCCCAACCCUCCCCCCACUUCCAUACCCACAACAUACAUCCGUAAUAUAGAAAAUUGAUACAUUUAAAACAACAAAGUAGGUUCUAGUUGAAAAACUCACCUCAAAUUUGCAGUCAACAAUAGGGCCGCACUCGUGCCACGGACAAGGGCACCACUGCAAGUUACACAAUAUGGGGCUAUAAGGUGGAAGUUGGUCAGGAUGAGGGUGAGGUGCAACACGGUUGUCACUGAGAAGCCUGCAAGUGAAAUUAAACAAAGCAAGUAUGCUAAUUUAGUGUGUAAAUUGGACAAUCCAGUAUUUCUAUAGAUGCUUAGAAAUCAGAAACUCACAUGAAGCAAAUAUGGUAAUGCUGCAUUGGAUUGCAUUUUCUUAGGCAAUUUGAGUGUCGUUCAUUAGGAAACAAUAUCUUUCUUAAUAGACAAUUUAUGUAUUCUGGAAAAGCAAGUAUAGUGUCUAUGUUCAUUUGCAUCCCAGAGUUCCCUAUUUAAAUAUAUGCUGGUAAGAUAAAUCAAAUGUACUGAAGGUGGAUAAAAAUAAAACUGAGAAAUCAAGUAGAUACGAGAGCAUGGUCUAUCUUGGUUGUACAGAGGGCAUGGCCUUGUGGCAUGGAAAUAAGAGCAAGGCAAGAAAGUAUUACAAUAGCGUACCUCUCAGUGAUCGAUUACUGUAAAUUGCUGAUACUGCUAGUAGCAAAAAGAUUAAUGUAGUUGAGCCACUGAACUAAAAAUUAAAUCGAUUUGGAGCUGAUGAAAUAUGAAAAGAUGAAAGAGUGAGGACACAAGGCGAUGAUUUCUAUUGGAGAAGGAUAAUUAUAUGAUUUCUAUCUCCACACACAUAGGAGGAAGCCAUACUUUUCCAAAAAAUAAGUAAAAAGAAAAGAAGGAUCAGAUUGAGAAGGCUAUCAUUUAAAUCAGGUUUGCAUGUGCUAUUUGCCUGAGAAUUCAGGAUACACAAUUUAAUAUCUUGUUGCUACAUUUGUC
rnacentral:lncRNA from 1 species